AGUAAGGGUUGUUGUAGACUACGACGUAGAUAGGUCUGGUGUGUAAGUGUAGUGAUACAUUGAGCUAACAGAUACUAAUUGCCCGAGAGGCUUAACUAUACAACGCUCAAG
rnacentral:rRNA from 1 species